UUCUUAUUGGAUGAUGACCGUGAGUGUCAUGUUCUAAUUGGAUGUCAACUCCAUGAAAGAUGAAAUGCAUUGUUGUUUUUAUUGACCAAUCAGAAAAUGACACACGUGACCAUCAUCAUCU
rfam:Glycine soja cultivar W05 scaffold3495_16, whole genome shotgun sequence.